rnacentral:rRNA from 1 species
CAGUCGCCGCGGUAACACAGAGGGUGCAAGCGUUAAUCGGAAUUACUGGGCGUAAAGCGCGCGUAGGUGGUUUGUUAAGUUGGAUGUGAAAGCCCCGGGCUCAACCUGGGAACUGCAUCCAAAACUGGCAAGCUAGAGUACGGUAGAGGGUGGUGGAAUUUCCUGUGUAGCGGUGAAAUGCGUAGAUAUAGGAAGGAACACCAGUGGCGAAGGCGACCACCUGGACUGAUACUGACACUGAGGUGCGAAAGCGUGGGGAGCAAACAGGAUUAGAUACCCGUGUAGUCCCUGUCUCUUAUAC